rnacentral:rRNA from 1 species
CCUACGGGAGGCAGCAGUGAGGAAUAUUGGUCAAUGGACGAGAGUCUGAACCAGCCAAGUAGCGUGAAGGAUGACUGCCCUAUGGGUUGUAAACUUCUUUUAUAUGGGAAUAAAAUGUUCCACGUGUGGGAUUUUGUAUGUACCAUAUGAAUAAGGAUCGGCUAACUCCGUGCCAGCAGCCGCGGUAAUACGGAGGAUUCGAGCGUUCUCCGGAUUUAUUGGGUUUAAAGGGAGCGUAGGUGGAUUGUUAAGUCAGUUGUGAAAGUUUGCGGCUCAACCGUAAAAUUGCAGUUGAAACUGGCAGUCUUGAGUACAGUAGAGGUGGGCGGAAUGCGUGGUGUAGCGGUGAAAUGCUUAGAUAUCACGAAGAACUCCGAUUGCGAAGGCAGUUCACUGGACUGCAACUGACACUGAGGCUCGAAAGUGUGGGUAUCAAACAGGAUUAGAUACCCCGGUAGUC